CUCUGUAGUUCAGUCGGUAGAACGGCGGACUGUUAAUCCGUAUGUCACUGGUUCGAGUCCAGUCAGAG
rnacentral:tRNA from 17 species